GUCAAUAACCCGCGAUUGAAAUCGCAGGCUUGAAAAAGCCUUUGUUGACUAGCCUUAGUAUUCUUGUAUUACCGUAUACGCUAAGAAUACUACGUUAUCUUUGUCAUCACACCACCGGACGUAACACCAAAUCCUGUGCUCUGU
rnacentral:sRNA from 1 species